UAAUAAUAAUUAUUAUUAUUAUUAUUAUUAUUGUUUGCUUAAGACAAACCCAACAUUAUUUUGUGAGAGUUCUUGUUGGGCUUCAAGACCAGAACCUCACACAUGCUACAGAAAUGAUCUAUUCCCAGCCCAAUAUUACUAUUUUUGAGACAGGGUUUCACUAAGUGCACUGGGACUUAAAAUUCAUCUGCCUUGGCCUUCCUAGUAGCCAGAUCUGUAGGUGUGCUGUCAAACCAGGUUGAAUUUACCCAUUUAAAGCACACACUUCAGUGACUUUUUGUCUAUUCACAGGGUUUUGCAACCAUCACCACAAUCUAAAUUUAGAACUUUAUAUUUUGUACCAUAAAAGAAAUCUGCCCCAUCAGUAGUCCCUCCCCAUUAUUCCCCUCUUCACCCUCUAGCACCCUCCAACCACUAUCUACUUCCUGUCUCUAGAUUGGCUUAUUCUGGGCAUUGCAGAUAAAUUGACUCAGACAGUAUGUGGUCUUUUGUGUCCAGUUAGCACAAUGUUUUCAGAGCUCAUCUGUGGUGUUGCAUGUAAAGUAUUCCAUCCUUUUUUAUUGUUAAAUAAUUGUCCAUGGUAUGGCAAAUUACUGUUAACUAAACUUCACAC
rnacentral:lncRNA from 1 species